CCCUUAGAUGUUCUGGGCCGCACGCGCGCUACACUGACGAAUGCAACGAGCUUAUAACCUUGGCCGAAAGGUCUGGGUAAUCUCCAAAUUUCGUCGUGAUGGGGAUAGAUUAUUGCAAUUAUUAAUCUUCAACGAGGAAUGCCUAGUAAGCGCAAGUCAUCAGCUUGCGUUGAUUACGUCCCUGCCCUUUGUACACACCGCCUGUCGCUCCUACCGAUUGAAUGGUCCGGUGAAGCGUUCGGACCGUGGCCUUUGGACGGUUCGCCGUCUGUUGGCUGCGGGAAGUUCGUUAAACCUUAUCAUUUGGAGGAAGGAGAAGUCGUAACA
rnacentral:rRNA from 1 species